GAUGAAGAACGCAGCGAAAUGCGAUACGUAAUGUGAAUUGCAGAAUUCAGUGAAUCAUCGAAUCUUUGAACGCAUAUUGCGCUCUCUGGUAUUCCGGAGAGCAUGCUUGUUUGAGUAUCAGUAAACACCUCAACUCCCUUUCUUCUUGAAAUGGAGCUGGACUUGAGUGAUCCCAACGCUUUAUUCAUAAAGUGGCGGGUUACUUGAAAUGCAGGUGCAGCUGGACUUUUCUCUGAGCUAUAAGCAUAUCUAUUUAGUCUGCCUCAAAACAGAUUAUUACCUUUGCUGCAGCUAACAUAAAGGAGAUUAGUUCUUGUGCUGACUGAUGCAGGAUUCACAAAGACCGCUUCGGCUGUCUUUGUAAACUCGAUCUCAAAUCAAGUAAGACUACCCGCUGAACUUAAGCAUAUCAAUAACGGAGGA
rnacentral:misc_RNA from 1 species